rnacentral:rRNA from 1 species
GCAUAUCAAUAAGCGGAGGAAAAGAAACCAACAGGGAUUGCCUCAGUAACGGCGAGUGAAGCGGCAACAGCUCAAAUUUGAAAUCUGGCUCUUUCAGGGUCCGAGUUGUAAUUUGUAGAGGAUGUUUCGGGUGUGGCUCCGGUCUAAGUUCCUUGGAACAGGACGUCAUAGAGGGUGAGAAUCCCGUAUGUGACUGGUAGCCUAUGCCCAUGUGAAACUCCUUCGACGAGUCGAGUUGUUUGGGAAUGCAGCUCAAAAUGGGUGGUAAAUUUCAUCUAAAGCUAAAUAUUGGCCAGAGACCGAUAGCGCACAAGUAGAGUGAUCGAAAGAUGAAAAGCACUUUGGAAAGAGAGUUAAACAGUACGUGAAAUUGUUGAAAGGGAAGCGCUUGCAACCAGACUUGCAUGUAGCUGAUCAACCGGUGUUCUCACCGGUGCACUCAGUUGCGUUCAGGCCAGCAUCGGUUUCGACGGUUGGAUAAAGGCCUUGGGAAUGUAGCUUCUUUCGGGGAGUGUUAUAGCCCAGGGUGCAAUGCAGCCUGUUGGGACCGAGGACCGCGCUUCGGCUAGGAUGCUGGCGUAAUGGUUGUAAGCGACCCGUCUUGAAACACGGACCAAGGAGUCUAACAUCUAUGCGAGUGUUUGGGUGUCAAACCCAUACGCGUAAUGAAAGUGAACGGAGGUGAGAACCCUUAAGGGUGCAUCAUCGACCGAUCCUGAUGUCUUCGGAUGGAUUUGAGUAAGAGCAUAGCUGUUGGGACCCGAAAGAUGGUGAACUAUGCCUGAAUAGGGUGAAGCCAGAGGAAACUCUGGUGGAGGCUCGCAGCGGUUCUGACGUGCAAAUCGAUCGUCAAAUUUGGGUAUAGGGGCGAAAGACUAAUCGAACCAUCUAGUAGCUGGGUUCCUGCCGAG